ACCAAUUUUAAAGCAAACAAAAAACCGAUUCAGAUCUAACAGUAUGAAUUUUGAUGUUCUUUCUCAUUCCAUCUACGCUAAGCUUAUAAUUAGAAAUUCUCGUGUCGUAGCGUAUGCAUAUCUGAAAAAAAAAAACUCAUAAUUUUCUUCACUGAUCUCGGUCAAAUCUCUCGACAUUGAAAAACUUCUGCAAUUUUUUCAAAGUGAGACAGAUGAAAAACACAAACGUCUCCAUCAAUCAAGGUGUACCGGAUUCUCCAGCCUCCGUAGUCAUCAUCGUUCAUGAUACCAUGCAAUAGCAGUUUCACAUGAGUGAGUGGUCAAGAAGUACAAAAAAAUCAAAUCAAUGGUGCCGAUUAUAAGAAGAGUUCUGGUUCAAAAUUACCAGACUGUGAUGAAUAGAAGAAGAAGAAGAAGAAGAAUGGUUAGUGAGAGAGAAGCAAAGCUUCCAUGUGCAGAGAUUGGUAGAAAAGGGUAUGAAUCUGGUGGAGGCACCAGAUGAGCAAGCAGUUAUGAUGUCGUAGUAGAAAGAUGAAAAGGAGACGCAACAGCUUGGUGCUUUCUGGCUAAAAACUGUGAAUAUGUGCAGGUUACAUUCCAUGUAUCCUUCAGCAUUUGUAAAAGUUAGUAAUAAGUUAUUGUAGAGGAUCGAACAUUGAUACUUUUGAAUCAUCAUUAACAUCAAACCUUGCUGAGUAGGUCUUCCAUG